rnacentral:rRNA from 1 species
UUCCUACGGGCGGCAGCAGUGGGGAAUAUUGGACAAUGGGCGCAAGCCUGAUCCAGCCACGCCGCGUGAGUGAUGAAGGCCUUCGGGUUGUAAAGCUCUGUGGGGAGGGGCGAAAACGGCCGGUAAGAAACGACCGGUCCUUGACGGUACCUCCUUAGCAAGCACCGGCUAACUCUGUGCCAGCAGCCGCGGUAAUACAGAGGGUGCGAACGUUGCUCGGAAUUACUGGGCGUAAAGCGCGUGUAGGCGGACGGGUAAGUCAGAUGUGAAAUCCCCGAGCUCAACUCGGGAACUGCAUUUGAAACUGCUCGUCUUGAGUAUCGGAGAGGGUGGCGGAAUUCCUGGUGUAGAGGUGAAAUUCGUAGAUAUCAGGAGGAACACCGGUGGCGAAGGCGGCCACCUGGACGGUCACUGACGCUGAGACGCGAAAGCGUGGGGAGCAAACAGGAUUAGAUACCCCUGUAGUCAC